GAUGAAGAACGUAGCGAAAUGCGAUAAGUAAUGCGAAUUGCAGAAUUCAGUGAGUCAUUGAAUCUUUGAACGCACAUUGCGCCCUGUGGUAUUCCGCAGGGCAUGCCUGUUCGAGCGUCAUUUCAACCCUCAAGCUCUGCUUGGUGUUGGGCCCUGCCCGCUGCGGCCGGCCCUAAAGACAGUGGCGGUGCCGCCUGGCCCUGAGCGUAGUACAUCUCUCGCUCCAGUGCCCGGUGGUAGCCUGCCAGAACCCCAACUCUCGUGGUUGACCUCGGAUCAGGUAGGGAUACCCGCUGAACUUAAGCAUAUCAAUAAGCGGAGGA
rnacentral:misc_RNA from 1 species